rnacentral:rRNA from 1 species
AUUGAACGCUGGCGGAAUGCUUUACACAUGCAAGUCGAGCGGCAGCGCGGCCUUCGGGCUGGCGGCGAGCGGCGAACGGGUGAGUAAUGCAUCGGAACAUGCCCAGUCGUGGGGGAUAACACUUCGAAAGAAGUGCUAAUACCGCAUACGUCCUGAGGGGGAAAGCGGGGGAUCGCAAGACCUCGCGCGAUUGGAGUGGCCGAUGUCAGAUUAGCUAGUUGGUGGGGUAAAGGCCUACCAAGGCGACGAUCUGUAGCUGGUCUGAGAGGAUGAUCAGCCACACUGGGACUGAGACACGGCCCAGACUCCUACGGGAGGCAGCAGUGGGGAAUUUUGGACAAUGGGGGCAACCCUGAUCCAGCCAUUCCGCGUGAGUGAACAAGGCCUUCGGGUUGUAAAGCUCUUUCGGCAGGAACGAAACGGUGGGCUCUAACAUAGUCCGCUAAUGACGGUACCUGAAGAAGAAGCACCGGCUAACUACGUG